rnacentral:rRNA from 1 species
AAUAGAUACCCGGGUAGUCCACGCCGUAAACGAUGAGUGCUAAGUGUUAGAGGGUUUCCGCCCGUUUAGUGCUGCAGCUAACGCAUUAAGCACUCCGCCUGGGGAGUACGGUCGCAAGACUGAAACUCAAAGGAAUUGACGGGGGCCCGCACAAGCGGUGGAGCAUGUGGUUUAAUUCGAAGCAACGCGAAGAACCUUACCAGGUCUUGACAUCCCACUGACCGGUAUAGAGAUAUACCUUUCCCUUCGGGGACAGUGGUGACAGGUGGUGCAUGGUUGUCGUCAGCUCGUGUCGUGAGAUGUUGGGUUAAGUCCCGCAACGAGCGCAACCCUUGAUCUUAGUUGCCAGCAUUUAGUUGGGCACUCUAAGGUGACUGCCGGUGACAAACCGGAGGAAGGUGGGGAUGACGUCAAAUCAUCAUGCCCCUUAUGACCUGGGCUACACACGUGCUACAAUGGAUGGUACAAAGGGCUGCAAGACUGCGAAGUCAAGCCAAUCCCAUAAAACCAUUCUCAGUUCGGAUUGCAGG